rnacentral:rRNA from 1 species
CCAGACUCCUACGGGAGGCAGCAGUGAGGAAUAUUGGUCAAUGGCCGAGAGGCUGAACCAGCCAAGUCGCGUGAGGGAAGAAUGUCCUAAGGAUUGUAAACCUCUUUUGUCGGGGAGCAAAAAGGCUCUGCGGAGUCGUAUUGAGAGUACCCGAAGAAAAAGCAUCGGCUAACUCCGUGCCAGCAGCCGCGGUAAUACGGAGGAUGCGAGCGUUAUCCGGAUUUAUUGGGUUUAAAGGGUGCGUAGGCGGUCGGAUAAGUUAGAGGUGAAAUCCCGAGGCUCAACUUCGGAAUUGCCUCUGAUACUGUUCGGCUAGAGAGUAGUUGCGGUAGGCGGAAUGUAUGGUGUAGCGGUGAAAUGCUUAGAGAUCAUACAGAACACCGAUUGCGAAGGCAGCUUACCAAGCUACUUCUGACGUUGAGGCACGAAAGCGUGGGGAGCAAACAGGAUUAGAUACCCGCGUA